rnacentral:rRNA from 1 species
UGACUUAGCGGCGACGGGUGAGUAACGCGUGGGCAACCUGCCUUACACAGGGGGAUAACAAUUAGAAAUGAUUGCUAAUACCGCAUAAGACCCCAGUACCGCAUGGUACAGGGGGUUAAAAACUGAGGUGGUGUAAGAUGGGCCCGCGUCUGAUUAGGUAGUUGGUCGGGGGUAGAAGCCUACCAAGCCGACGAUCAGUAGCCGACCUGAGAGGGCGACCGGCCACAUUGGGACUGAGACACGGCCCAAACUCCUACGGGAGGCAGCAG